rnacentral:rRNA from 1 species
UACGAAGGGGGCUAGCGUUGUUCGGAAUCACUGGGCGUAAAGCGCACGUAGGCGGAUGGUUAAGUCAGAGGUGAAAGCCUGGAGCUCAACUCCAGAACUGCCUUUGAUACUGGCCAUCUCGAGUCCGGAAGAGGUAAGUGGAACUGCGAGUGUAGAGGUGAAAUUCGUAGAUAUUCGCAAGAACACCAGUGGCGAAGGCGGCUUACUGGUCCGGUACUGACGCUGAGGUGCGAAAGCGUGGGGAGCAAACAGG